rnacentral:rRNA from 1 species
UGGAAUGCAUAGGAAUCUACCUAGUAGUAUGGGAUAGCCCUAGAAAUGGUGGGUAAUACUGUAUAAUCCCUGCGGGGGAAAGAUUUAUCGCUAUUAGAUGAGCCUAUGUUAGAUUAGCUAGUUGGUAGGGUAAAGGCCUACCAAGGCGAUGAUCUAUAGCUGGUCUGAGAGGAUGAUCAGCCACACUGGAACUGAGAUACGGUCCAGACUCCUACGGGAGGCAGCAGUGGGGAAUAUUGGACAAUGGGCGCAAGCCUGAUCCAGCUAUGCCGCGUGAGUGAGGAAGGCCUUAGGGUUGUAAAACUCUUUCAGUAGGGAAGAUAAUGACGGUACCUACAGAAGAAGUCCCGGCAAACUCCGUGCCAGCAGCCGCGGUAAUACGGAGGGGGCAAGCGUUGUUCGGAAUUAUUGGGCGUAAAGGGCAUGUAGGCGGUUCGGUAAGUUAAAGGUGAAAUGCCAGGGCUUAACCCUGGAGCUGCUUUUAUAA